GGCCUGAUGGUCUAGUAGUAUGAUUCCUUGUUAGGGUUCUUUCGAUACCAUCUCGAGGAGGUCCCGGGUUCAAUUCCCGGUCAGGCCC